CGCCCGCAGCAUCCUCGUGGCCACCCGCUUCGUUCACGCUUGGGAGCUGCCGCACGCUCUCUCCUCUUCCUUUGGUAUGGCAAUUCCAUUGCACACCUCCUGACCUCCUGCCUCCUCUGUAUCCAGUUCACCCCACUAACUGACGUCUGUUGUUGAGCAUGGUCGUUGAGGCAUUCCUUACCAUCACUUCCACGGCGUGACCACGUACACGCACAUUCCCCAUAACCCUCAACACGACACCCUACACUGAACAAGAACAUCCCUUCUUCAGAAUGGGCACAGGAUUCUUCAGCAGAUGUUGACCUUAAUGAUUGCUCAAGCCAUUUUGACGCAGAGCUCUACCAAGACCCAGAUAUGGUUGCACAGGCUGGAUAUGAAUUAUUAUCUUGAACACUCUUUUCAAGUACCUAUAAAUUAAAAGAAAAGAAAACUUACUCCUGCACCUAUAUGUACAGAGCUAUAUUUCCCUGCUGCAGUCUGUGGCUGAUCGAUAUGCUCAUUGCCAUUGCCAUAUGUGUCCACUAUUCGUGAGGUUACUGAUGACGGCUCUGUGGUUCAUGGAAUAGAGAUAGAAAUACCUGCACAGAGCCAAUUCUCACCGCCAAAACAAGUAUUCUUUUGGGCAUAUGCUCAGCCAAACGCAAUAUCUGCUUAUGAAAAAGCUGCUUUUGCAAGCAGUUCGUUAUUUGCAAUCUAUAUAUGGGUGAUUUGUUUGUUCCUUUUGCUGUGUCGUGCCCAUGAGUCAAAAAUCAAGUUCUUGUUCCUUUUGCUGUCGUUUCGUUGGUUCUGCGCGAUUGGUUCUGCUGCUGCUCCUUAUUUCCGGUUGCCUGUGCUGCUUAGAUUUAGUUUGCUUGCUCUGAGGCCCGGAAGACUCGAGAUCCCAUCACCUGUUUUGCUUCGUCCCAGGCGCUGCCUUCCGCGCUCUCGUAGGAGGCGCUCCACGUCGAAAGCGGAAGCUGUUUGCGCAUGAAAACCUCGCGCCCAAGCUUUGCGCAUUCCAGGUGGGCCGCACGGCUAGACGGCGGCGCUCGCGAUGACGGGCGGAGGUGCUGCAGGGGGCACGUGGGGUGCAAGCGAGCGGAGCUGCGGGCAGCCGCAGCGGAAAGCAGAGGCGCAGAGGAAGACGCAACAUCAAGCGAGGGUAGGCGGCCGCACGGCAGCAGCAGGUGUAAUGGCAGCAAAGAAGAUGAUGAUUCAGACUUGCGGGAUCCAUGGAAAUGAGAUAGUGUAACCUGUACUGUUUCUUUGUGUUUAAAUCACUUGGCUUUGCAGUACUCAAUAUGAGGCUUGUUGAUUUUCUGAAUUAUUUGUGGACAAAAUGUCCAGGUCGAUGUAUUGCAAUGUGAGUUCUCAAUAAUGCUUAUGAUUUCAA